CUGAGAUCUAUGGUGUGCUGGACAUCCUGCUGGGUACCAAGGGAGGGCUACCACGUAGGUGAACCUGCUUCUGCCCGUGAUGAGGUCGUGGUCUGGUUCUGGUGAUAUGGUUUAAAUGCAUGAAAAGUUAAGUAAUGGUUCAAAUCCACAGUGAAGGGAAAAUCCUAGGCCAGAUCUGUGGCUAAAUGAGUGAUGGAAUCCAUGCGGACUAAGAAAUACUUAAGUCUCUGGAAUUUGCCCUGUGUUUUGUUUUUGCCCUACCUCCCACCCCAAAUCUGAGGCUAUGUCCAGUUCUUUGCUGAGUUGGGAAUAAUUUUCCUCUGUAUAACUCAAUGAAAUCAUAGCCUGUUAUGGGAAGCCUUUCUCAGCCACGACCACCCCCUUGUCUGAUUAGGUGCCCUCUUCUGGGCUCUCACAGCUCCUGUCAUAAACCAUCGUUGUAUUUAUCUUACCAUUUACUUGUCUCUUUCAGUCAGCUGGAAUGAAGUGUUCAACUUGCAAUUUAUAGGGAAGCAAGACUGGAGAGGGAAUUUAGGGAGAAUUAGCUGGUAUAUUCCAGGCCUGUGCUACUCAGCAUGUGGUCCAUGGACCAGCAGUGUUAGCAUCUCCUGGCAGUGAAUUAAAAAUGCAAAAUCUCGUGCUCCAUCUCAGAACUACAGACUCAGCAUCUGAAUUUUAACAGAUCCCAGGUGAUUCAUAUGCACAUCAAAGCUUGAGAAGAACUCGGCUAGUCUAGAGUACUGCUUCUCAAACUUGGCUGCCCAUUGGAAUCGCCUGGGGUUUUGAUAAAGUACUGAUGCUUGGGUCCCACUCACAGAGGUCCUGAUUUAAUUGGUUGGGAUGUGGCCAAUUAAAAGCUCUCCAGGUAAUGCUAAUAUGCAGCCACAUAUGUGAGUCACCUCUGGGUUAGUGUUUCCCAGCUGCUAUCCCCUGUCAUUGCACUUACCACACUGUAUUGUCAUUUUCAUUUAGGUGCUUGUCUUCCCUACCCAUUAAGGGUGGGGACUCUCUUAUACAUCCUGAGACUCUAAUAUAGUAUCUCUCAAUGAAUAAUUGUUUCCUAAAGUGAAUGGAAAUGAAGCUGAGUGGAGGCCUUUAGUGCUGAAUUUGUGGACAACCUUAGAGCAAAAUUAUUGGAAUUACUCUCCAUAGCUUGGGUGAAGAAUUGAGGCAUGCCUAUUAACAUCGAUGGCAAAAAAGGGGUUCAGAUGCUCUCAUUUAGCCAAAGUAAAAGUCUAUAGGAUAUGUCAAAUUGCUGGUGCCCAGAUUUCCUGGGAAUAGGAUGGGGUGAGAAGAUUCACCAUGAUAUCUUUUAAUAGGAAGAGAGGAGACUUAUAGGUUUAGUUCACGUCAAGCCCUGGAUGGUGCAACAGUGAUAUUUAUCUGGCCACUAAGAAAAUUACAAUAGGACUUUCAAAUGCAUUAAUGGAAGUGCAGUAUCCACUCCUACGAGGUAUUGGACUGCUCUGUCUCCUUUGGGUACCACACUUUGAAGAAGUAGUGAGCAUUGUGGAUAAUAUAGAAAUCAUAUCAUGGGAGGGAGUGUAUGGGAAUGGAUGUCUAGAGACGAGAGGAUGUGGUGAGGACAUGAUUGCUUUUUUCAAAAGGACUGACUGGUGUGUGAGAAGAGAGCAGAAUUGUGCUGUGCUGCUCCACAGGACAUAGCUAGGGCCAAUGGAAUUCAUGGAAGCAGAUUUUGGCUCCACGUAGGAAAGACUUUGUGCCAGUGAGAGCUGUCCAAUAAUAGAACCGGCUGCCUGGGGAGAUGGUGCGAGCGAGCGAGCUCUCUAUCUUUGGAAAUGUUCUAGCAGAGCCUGGAUGGCCAUCUGUCGUGGGUAUUGUGGAAAGAUUCAUGCAUUCAGUGGAUGAACAAAAUUUUGUUGAUGAUAAUGGUAGUAAAUGUGGCUAUGUAUACUGAGUGCCUAGGGAGUGCCAGAUACUGUGCUAGGCAAGUGUGCAUAGAUUAUCAUCUUUAAUCCUUCUACAGCCCUAAUGAAAGUGACAGUUAUUACUUCCAUUUUAUAGAAGAAAUAGGCUCAGAGGUAGGAUUUGAACCCUGGGCUUUCUGACUUCAAAACCCAUAAUCUUUUAACUAUAUCGCCUGCCUUUUACUGUCCCUUCCAUUUCUAAGAUGCUAUGAUUUCAAGCGUAUUUAGACACUGGGUUUGAACUCACCUUUCGGCAUCUAUUUGGAGAAGGUCCUCUGGAGAGCUGGGCACGAAGGCUUGGGAGUUCAGAGGAUAGUCAGGAUGGCAGAUGCAGACUUGAGCAUGCUCUGCCAAGAGGUGAGGGUUGCUGCCAUUGGGUUGAUAAGAUUCACAAGGUAGUGACUGCAGAGAGAAGAGGUCCGUGUGGGCCGACACCUUCACGUGGGCUGUUGGAAACUCAAGGCAUGGCAAUAGCUGUGAGUUCUGCUUUCUAAGUGGGAAGGAGUAGACUGUUACUGCAUGUUAGAAGCUUGGUUUCUAACCUCAGUAAAAUGUGACUGCUUCUAUAAAUUUUCGGGUUCUACGUUGAGACAAUGCAAGUCAAAUGCCGAAAUUGGAGUCAGUAGAAUAUAGUGGCUCAAGGUAAAGCCUCUGCCUGGGUUGAUAUCUGGACACUGCUACUCCCUAGCUAUGUGUCCUUCCACAAAUUACCUUCAUUUGCCUCAAUUUCAUCAUCUGUAAAAUGGGGAUGAUAACACUACCUACCCUAUAGGUUUAUCAUGGAGCUUAAGUGACGUAUGCACAUAAAGCGCUGGGACAGAGGCUGACACAUGGUGAGCACUUGGUGUUUAUAUUCAGAUUGGUUAUUACAUCUAAGUAAGCCCUAAAGUAUCACCAAUGGAAUAGUUCACUUAGGAGCCUCAGCUAUGUAUCUACCUUAUUUCGAUUGAGCCACACUAUAAAAAUUCAGCUUACGUUGUUCUAAAUUAAAACGCGCAACUUCGUUAAUCAAACAUUUUAGCUUAAUAUUUCAAUCCAUUUUGUUGCAGUUUCCAAAUUGUAUUAACCUACUUCCUCCCUGUAAUACGUAGUUUACCAUACAGCAUUGAGGCCACAUAAAGUAGAGGUUAAAAGGAAGACUGGGUCAGACUGCCUGGGUUUAAAUUUUAACUUCAUUAUUUACUAGCCCUGUGACCUGGGGAAAUUUACUUAGUCACUCUAAGCUUCAGUUUCUUUCAUAUAAAGUGGAGAUAAUAGUAAUACCUACCACGUAGGGUUUGGAGAACAAAUGAGAUUACAUGUAUAGAGUGCUUGGAACAGUUCCUAGGCAUCUUCAACAUAGUCAGCAUUCGACCGAGGACGAUGAUGGUACACAUACAUUCUAAGGCAAAGGAACUUAAAAUGCCUUGGGGUCCUUAUUGUACGCAUCAGUGUUGAUUGUUUAAUCCCACUGUGUGUGUACAUAAUCUAUAGACAGGCUUCUCUGUGAGCAAGGGAUUAAUGGAUAGAGAGAGGAUGGUCAUGGGUCAGCCUGAAGGGUCCCUGGGAUGCUCUUGAAAUUGUAGGCAAGACUUGGGAGUAUGCAUGUUUGUAUAGAGAAGUUAAUCACUCUGUGACCUUAUAAAGUUUAAGAAGUGUUAGCAUAAGAAUCUUGAAGUGGAACAUGAGACUGUUAGUAAGGGAAAACUGAAAACCUGGCUAACGGGGACUUCAGGAAUAAAGUCAUUUUGUUAUCUCAUAAUAACGAAGAGUCAGAGGUGGGUGGUCCCAAGAUCAGUGCAGUAGUUCAAAGAUGUUAUCAGGGGCUCAAGUUUUCUUUCUGCUCCCUGUCAUCCUUAGAUUAAUUGCUUCAUGGUCCCAGGAUAGCUGCCAUAGAAACAAGAACCGCAUCCUCAUGUAACUUCGCUGAAAACAGAAAGAAGGCAGGGAAGCCAGGGUGGUGUGAUAGAGCUUUCGUUUUUCGUCUCCUUUCUCCUAUCAGAGCUGCUGAUUCUGACCCAGAUCUGCCCUCCCCGAAGCCUCAGCUGCUGACACUAGCUCUGAGGAGCUGGACCGUGAGCUCUGCCAGGAUGAAGAUGCUCAUCUCCACAGCUCUCCCCACACUCUAAACAAGCAGUUCCCGGGGAGGAGAACAACGCACACAGUAGUAACAAGUCUAGUAAUUAGCAGUAGCCCUGGGGCCUUGCAACACUUCUAAAAGGACAAGGUGAUUCAGGAAGAUGUGUCACUGCCCCUGCGAGUUUCCCAGAUGGAGAGACAGGCGGGGAUCUCCAGUGCUAAUGACGCGGAGGCCUCUAACCUGCAGUUGUUAGAGCGCGUGGGUGAGGAGAUUUGGGACAAAAGCAAAACAGCUGGACAUGGAGUCUGCAUGUCUGUUGUUGAUGGAAGAGCCUGUUUUUAUACAUGGUCUUGGCACAUUGUGCUACUCUAAAGGGCAGGCAGAGAAUCCAUAAAACUGUGGUGGUGCAAUCCUGUCAAAAUAAACAUGCAAAGUGUGAAGACACUAUGCAAAGCCCGAGCCUUGCCCCGUCUCCUCAGUCCAUAAUCCAGAGGCUCAGGAAUUGGAUGAACACUCAUUUUUUGCAUAUUAAUUGGUAAAUAAAAGGUUGAAAGUUUAAUAACGCAUUUAUCAUACUGAAUCAAAAUGCCCUAAAUUACUGUAAUAAUUAUUUUCUCCAAUGGAGAGUGGAAGAAUACAAGAAGAUCAGUGAAGAAAGCGUUUCUGCAUCUCCCCUGGGAGUUAGGGAGCAGCUCCCAGAGGAGCUACCUCUUGGAGUGAAGACUGAGUAGGAACUUGCCAGUCUUAUGGAGGUAACAGAGGUAGCGGAGAUGUCAAGGCUUUCAUGUGGGGUACUCCAGAUGGAGGAAAAACACCGAAAGGGCAGAAAGUUGUAAAAUGCAAUGAGCAUCUGAUAGUUUGUUUACUCAGCACUUCUCUCCCCUUCUUCGGAAAAAAGUCCCAUUUUCUUCUUCUGGAGGUGGUCUUUCACACUUAAUUAUAUGGUUGGAUAGGAGCCAGCAUUCGGCUCUCGCCUGUGGAAACAAGUGACUGGUCUGGGAGUAUGCGUGUGUCGGGACCCAUCAAAAUCUUCCCUGAGAUUUUUUAAGCUGCAGCCGGGAGAAAGAUUUCGGUCGGCUCCCAAGGUGCCGAGCUGCGUGGUGAGGUGCAGGAUUUGUCAAUGGCUCUGACCCUGUCGUGUGGAAAUACUCUUGACUGCAGGAGACAGAAGCCCAGUUCAAAUUAGCUUAGAUCACAGUGACAUUUAUUGUAAAAUUUACAUAAGCGUAGUCUCUCUCUGUCUCUCAUUUCUCUGUCUACCUUUACAAAAGCUCCUUCCAGAUGGUGGAACUCAGGAUCAGCAAUGACUUCCAUAUCUUACUUCUCAUUGGGGUUGUGGGGAGUGUGGGAGACAGAAAAAAAAAAUGAAAUAAAUAAGAAAGUCUUACAGACCGUUAGAACAGUGUUUCUCAAAUGUUGACGUACCUGUCAGUUGGCCGGAGAGCUCCUAUCCUGCAGACCUUAACGCUUUAGGUCUGGAAUGGUCCCUAAGAUUUGCAUUUCUAAUAAGCUGCCAAGUGAUGUUGAUGGUGCUGGUUUAAAGACCACACUUUGAAUAACACAAUGUUCAAAGAUAAUGUUUAAGAAUUGAGGAAAUAUGAAAAGCUGGUGCAGUAUAUGGUGGUUUGGGAAUGGGGUAGAAGUGAGCUAUAAUUUUCAGUAGGGUAAUUAGGAGAGGCCCAUGGAGGUGGCAUUUGAACAGACUUGAAAGAGUUAAU
rnacentral:lncRNA from 1 species